UAGCUUAUGAUGAUUGCUAUUUGUGUUGGAAUUACCGACUGAUGUGGUUAAAACCAUCAUGAAGCAUAUCAUCUGGCUUUCUGAAGCUUUUA